GACGAACGCUGGCGGCGUGCUUAACACAUGCAAGUCGAACGAAGUGGCGAACGGGUGAGUAACGCGUAAUCAACCUGCCCUUCAGAGGGGGAUAACAGUUGGAAACGACUGCUAAUACCGCAUACUGAAGGAGGGGAUUGCGUCUGAUUAGCUAGUUGGAGGGGGAACGGCCCACCAAGGCGAUGAUCAGUAGGCGGGCUGGGAGGGUGAACGGCCACAAUGGGACUUGGACACGGGCCAGACUCCCAAGGGAUGUAGCAGUGGGGAAACUUCCGCAAUGGACGAAAGGCUGACGGAGCAACGCCGCGGGAGUGAAGACGGGUUUCGGGUUGUAAAGCUCUGUUAAUCGGGACGCGGUACCGGAAUAGAAAGCCACGGCUAACUACGUGCCAGCAGCCGCGGUAAUAC
rnacentral:rRNA from 1 species